CCCACUUUGCAUGCCAUUCUUUCUCAUGCACAAAAUUAUUUUGUAUAAAAUUUUUUCAUACUAAAGAGUUCUUCUCUCUCUCUAUCUCAUGUCCAAAUCUGAUUUGAAUUUGAUAAAAGAAAGAUAUUGAAAUUAGAUUUCAAAACAUUCCUUAUCAAGAGAGUUUGAUCUUAUCCAAAUCACUCAACACGCCAUCCCUUUUAUUCUCUUUCUUUUGUGUGACUUUUUAAGGAAUUUUUUUGUGUG
rnacentral:lncRNA from 1 species